AUCGCAAAUAAGCUUUCGAAUAAAACCAAAAUUAAUGAAAUCGGUCCACGUACAACAGCGAUAUCGUAAUAUCAUGUCACGAUUCAUCUAAAAACGAUACCGUCUUAUACUUUUCCAGUCGAUUUUUCGUCAACACUUAACUAAUAGGAGGAAUAGCUGGAUGCAGGUUAUUAAGACAGAAGAAAAAAAUUUCACCAGAUACUGCAAGAAAUAUUGCACAAGAGACAGUAAUGUUGCCUUUAUAAUACGUGUGUGCACCCAUUAAAACCAUAAUAGUAAUUACAACAAGAAAAGGAUCUUAUAACAUCAUCAAUAAAAGAUCCUUGAUUGAUCUAAGCAGCUACAGUCAUUCCAAUAAAAGGAAACGAAGGGAUGAAUUGCUUGUUUCAUGAAGCGAAUAAUUUGCUGACGAAGCAACUGUAUUUUGGUGCUCUCCAAAAAUAGGAGCUGCCAUUGUGAAAUUCUAGUAUUUUAUCUGAGUGAAGGAUAUCUGGUAGUAAUUAUUAAAAUACCACAAGAAGGAUCGUGCAAGUUAACAGGAAAUACGAUAGUUUGACAGGUAUAUUGAAUUUGGCCAGUUAAAAUAUACUACGCCCUGACAGAGUGUACAAUGGAAGGAAUUAAGUGAUCUGUAUAUAAUGUUUGUAUGAAAAUUAUAAUUUCUAUUUUUAUUUUAAGCAUUAUGUUAAUUCGCAAUUAAAAUAUGGUAUGUAUGUGUUACGGAUAAUUGAAGCAUGAGAUGGUGCGGUGUGCAUAAUAAAUUUGCUGGUAUUUAUAUUAAUUUAUGAAUUGAAUGAAUAAAUGUUCAUAAUUAAUAAAUUAAUAUUACAUGAUUACGAUAUCUCUGUCGUUCGUGGACCGGUUUUAUUGAUUUUGAUGGUAUUCAAAAGCUUAUAUGCGGUUUACAUCAGAAAAAUGCUUUAAAAUUUAGAAAAUGCGUGUUGAGAUAUUUAUAAAAGAAGUUUCAGGUUAGGUUGAAAUCGAUCAUCUUCCUGUAAAAGAUACGCGGUAGCUACAACGCCAGGUAUACGUGGUGACAUAUAAUUUUUCAUGUACUUGGCAUCGAGACGCUACCGCGUCUCUAGAUAAUGAGGACAUACAUAACCAAUCUAUUGGUGAGGGUAAUCAAUCAUGCUUUUUCUAUAGAUAUGUGACAUGCACAGCAAUACGAAUACUGUAGAUUAAUUUAUCCUUUAUUUCAACAAAUCUUCUACUGACAAACUGUGCUUUAAUGUAAAAUCUUCCUCUACGUUAGCUUAAAAAACUUUUUUAGCAAAUUAACCUUUUUCAAAAUAGAUUACGUAUGUGUACUUUAUUGCCUCUACUAAGUCAUUAAUAAUCCAUUUGAAUGAUUGAUACGAUUACAAAAUAAUAACUUUCUUUCAAUUGACAAAAUCCUGUACGUAUGCGUACGAUGGUUUCUGGUUUGCACAAUAUUUUAGGAAUAAUUUAUCAGGACAUGAUAAAAUUAAUACCUAAAAUUACUCAUUUAGUGUGACAGUAUGAUGAUGUAAUAAAAAACGUAAUGACGUUAAUAAUACUAUAAUACUAUAGUGACAGUGCAAUUUUUAAUGGCAAUUUGUCCUGUUCUCUGUAAUUUCAAAGAAAUAGUAGUACGUUUAACAGGUAUACAUUGUCUCCGGUAGCUUUAGUGUUAAUAGCUUCGUCUGGUUCCAUCUUAGUUUCUUUCCUUUUUUUAAUGUUCUCACAUUUCCGAUUGUAAUAUUUUCUGCACUGAUUCUGUAGUAUAAGCUUUCCCAAUAUUGUUAAAAAAAAGUGUCAGAAGAAAUACUAAUAUUACCUGUGUCGAACUGUCGCAAGACGAACCCAUCCUUGAGUAGUUUAUUACUCCUUGGUUCACAGUUUUGUCGUAAAAUGUAAACCACAAGAAAAUAUAUAUCGAUUCUUUCGUUGACUGAUUUACGAGAUGGUCGUUUAACACUCGCAGUGAAAUUUGACGCAUAAUGUGCACGUUGUCAUUUGUUCGUAAUAAAUAUCACGUUAUACAAAAAACUUAUUUGACAUGCCUCAAUUUUAUUCAAAUAUAUAAAUUUAAAAGUUUAAUAUGAUAAUUUACAAUAUGAAGGGAUUGUCAAACAGGGCUUGAAGAUUUUAUAUUUUGAUAAAAUACUAAUGGUAUGUGUUGAAGAUAAUUAUUUUACUAGUUUUCGAAUUGCGCGCCA